rnacentral:lncRNA from 1 species
AGCUAUCACUGCUUAGCCGCUGGACCGUACCCUGUCGCAGUGCCUCGUUCUCGCUAUCCUUUUCACUUCGCCGCCGUGCAGCUCGGUGAGCAUGCAGUCGCGCCUAUGCCGGCCGAGCUGACGCGGCCGCACAGCGCCUGCCCGCUGAGCCACCACGGCACGCAGAGUGAACGAGAUCGAGGGGAGGAGAUUCGAGAUCUACCAGACGAACUCGGGAGAGAGAAGUGGAAGGGAGGGGGAGAGGAAGGUGGGAAGUGUGAGAGAAGUGGAGGGUGGAGAGAGACACUCUAGAAGCGACUUGAGCGCCUGACUCAACCGGAUUUAACUUGGCUUCAUAACUGAUGAGAGAGCU